UACGUAGGGGGCAGGCGUUGUCCGGAAUUAUUGGGCGUAAAGAGCUCGUAGGCGGUUUGUUGCGUCGGCUGUGAAAUCCCGAGGCUCAACCUCGGGUCUGCAGUCGAUACGAGCAAACUAGAGUGUUGCAGGGGAGACUGGAAUUCCUGGUGUAGCGGUGAAAUGCGCAGAUAUCAGGAGGAACACCGGUGGCGAAGGCGGGUCUCUGGGCAACAACUGACGCUGAGGAGCGAAAGCGUGGGGAGCGAACAGG
rnacentral:rRNA from 1 species